GACGAACGCUGGCGGCGUGCUUAACACAUGCAAGUCGAACGGAAAGGCCCUGCUUUUGUGGGGUGCUCGAGUGGCGAACGGGUGAGUAACACGUGAGUAACCUGCCCUUGACUUUGGGAUAACUUCAGGAAACUGGGGCUAAUACCGGAUAGGAUCUCCUGCUGCAUGGUGUGGGUUGGAAAGUUUCGGCGUUUGGGGAUGGACUCGCGGCUUAUCAGCUUGUUGGUGGGGUAGUGGCUUACCAAGGCUUUGACGGGUAGCCGGCCUGAGAGGGUGAACGGCCACCUUGGGACUGAGAUACGGCCCAGAAUCCUACGGGAGGCAGUAGUGGGGAAUAUUGCACAAUGGGCGGAAGCCUGAUGCAGCAACGCCGCGUGCGGGAUGACGGCCUUCGGGUUGUAAACAGCUUUCGACUGUGACGAAGCGUGAGUGACGGUAAUGGGUAAAGAAGCACCGGCUAACUACGUG
rnacentral:rRNA from 1 species